GGAAGGAUGCAGCUCAGUGGUAGAGCACAUGCUUAGCAUGCACGAGGUCCUGGGUUCAAUCCCCUAGUCCCUCCA
rnacentral:tRNA from 1 species